rnacentral:rRNA from 2 species
ACAGAUGGGAGCUUGCUCCCUGAUGUUAGCGGCGGACGGGUGAGUAACACGUGGGUAACCUGCCUGUAAGACUGGGAUAACUCCGGGAAACCGGGGCUAAUACCGGAUGGUUGUUUGAACCGCAUGGUUCAGACAUAAAAGGUGGCUUCGGCUACCACUUACAGAUGGACCCGCGGCGCAUUAGCUAGUUGGUGAGGUAACGGCUCACCAAGGCGACGAUGCGUAGCCGACCUGAGAGGGUGAUCGGCCACACUGGGACUGAGACACGGCCCAGACUCCUACGGGAGGCAGCAGUAGGGAAUCUUCCGCAAUGGACGAAAGUCUGACGGAGCAACGCCGCGUGAGUGAUGAAGGUUUUCGGAUCGUAAAGCUCUGUUGUUAGGGAAGAACAAGUGCCGUUCAAAUAGGGCGGCACCUUGACGGUACCUAACCAGAAAGCCACGGCUAACUACGUGCCAGCAGCCGCGGUAAUACGUAGGUGGCAAGCGUUGUCCGGAAUUAUUGGGCGUAAAGGGCUCGCAGGCGGUUUCUUAAGUCUGAUGUGAAAGCCCCCGGCUCAACCGGGGAGGG